CUCAACCACAGGCCACCAGUGGCACUCAGCUGUACCACUGCACUGCUGCUGAAAUUGCCAGCACCAGCGGCUUUGUAACAGCUGUUUCACAGCAUCUCGGAGACAAUGGCUACGAAAUUAUUGGCCCUGAUGACGAGAGCCCUCAAGGGGCAAACGACAUCUCUGUUGCAGAAGUGAGCCCGAUACCACCUUAAGUUACCAUAACAGAUGACACGGCUGCAAUA
rnacentral:lncRNA from 1 species